AUGUGUGUUAAUUGAAAUGCGGGUAAUACAUUAAAUAAAAAAAAUGAAAUACAUUAAUAAAAAAAAUGUAUAAUAUAAAAAAAAUAAUAAAAAAUACAAAAUUGUAAACUUCAAAAAGAAUAUUUAUAAGAACAAGAAAAGUCGGGAAAACAAAAAAAAAAGCAAAAAAAAAAUACAAUAUAACAUGGCUGAAAAGUUGCUAUUCAAAGAAAUGUGAGAAACCCAUCAAAAAAUUUCUCUGAAUGGAAAAAAGAUUGAAUUUUGAAUUAAAAAAGAAAAGAAAUUGAAUUUUUUUAUAUUGAAGUUGUUAAAAAAGUAUUUUAUAUAUUGACAAUUUAUUGAAGACAUAGUUGGGGGUUGUGUGUGUAUUGCAAAAUUGGCGGAAAUUGAAUUGCCAAGAAAAUAUUUUUUUUGUUUUCCUUUUUUUUUAAAAAAAAAAAAAAAAGAAAGAUGUACUAAUGCAAAAUACUUUUACACAUUAAAUAAUAAUUUAAAAACAAAAAAAUUUUGAUUUUUAGAAAUCAAUUUACAAAAAUAUUUGUUAAAAUUAUAAAGUCAAAUAAUUAAAAUUAAAAAAAAAUAAAAACAUGCAAAACUUUCUAAAACAAACAAACAUAAUUUUUAAAAUAAUUUGUAUAUAAAAUAUUAUAAUUUAUACCAUAUAUAUAUAUAUAUAUAUAUCAAAAUCAUUUCUAAUGGUAAUCUUUACUAACUGAAAUGAGUCAUAGUGCUAAUAAUAAAA